GUAGGGGGCAUGGUCCCUCCCAGCACAAGAUUGGUCCAAUUCAAGUCCAAUCCUACACCAGGAAGUAGGAAGGAGGGACCAUUGGGGCAAGACUACAGUUCCCCGGCCACACUAUUUUAAAACCCACACAAGGCAGAAAUAUGGCUGUCGAUGACUAAGGACACAAGGAGAGGGGAGAUGAUUAUCAGAACCCCAGCAGGAAGGUCAGCUACAUGAUCAAUAAUGAUUGGACUUCAGCAGAUAGUUAUUCUAAAUAAGAGGCAUCUCUGCUAAUCAGAGACCUUGGAAGUCAUUGACCGGGGCAAACUGACUGAUCACUGAAGAUCUGGGUCACAGCUGAUCUCUAUGAAAAUUACUUACUCAUAGCCCUUUUGGUUUUAAAUGAGAAUGGAGUUGCAUGUUCAGUUCUCAUAGAAAUAAAUAUACUUCAAUCUCCUGUGUAA